rnacentral:rRNA from 1 species
UGGGGAAUCUUGCACAAUGGGGGCAACCCUGAUGCAGCGACGCCGCGUGAGCGAUGAAGCCCUUCGGGGCGUAAAGCUCCUUCGACCGGAACGAUAAUGACGGUACCGGGAGAAGAAGCUGCGGCUAACUCCGUGCCAGCAGCCGCGGUAAUACGUAGGCAGCAAGCGUUGUUCGGAGUUACUGGGCGUAAAGAGUGCGUAGGCGGUUUUCUAAGUUCGGUGUGAAAUCUCCCGGCUUAACUGGGAGGGUGCGCCGAAGACUGGGAAGCUGGAGUGUGGGAAAGGCAGGCGGAAUUCCUGGUGUAGCGGUGAAAUGCGUAGAUAUCAGGAGGAACACCGGCGGUGUAGACGGCUUGCUAGACCAUAACUGACGCUGAGGCACGAAAGCGUGGGUAGCAAACA